CUCCUCUCCCUCCCCUCCUCCUCUCAGAUGGAGAGAGAGUUUGCUCUAGCACCUCUAUAGACACAGUUCUCAAUCAGGACUUCCAGAUCCUCAUCAACAGCACCAUCUACAGGAUACACUCCCCGGGCAGAGAGUCUCCAGAACAUUCCACCAGUAUAGAUGACAUGAAGACAGUAGUCCACAUGCUCCAGUCAGCUCUCAACCUGCCAGAACACCAACUACUGAGACAGAUUCAGCUUCUCCGCAGACUGGAUACACUGAAGCAGGAGCUGGGACCUCUGGAGGAGGUGCGGGCCCAAGUGGCUGGGAGGGCGGAGUCUCAGUCGAUGCGUGUAGAGUGGGGGUGCUUGCCUUUCUUCUCUACAGGGAAGCUUUCUGGGAUACCUGACUUGGUUUGUGUUUGCCUGGGACGUGAUGGAACCAGUCACCUACUUCAUCACCUACGCUACCAGCAUGGGCUUCCUGGGUUACUACAUACUCACUAAACAGGCAAGACAGACAGACAGACGCAGAGACAGACAGACAGACGCAGAGACAGACAG